rnacentral:lncRNA from 1 species
CCUGGCCGGAAAUUAAAAAGAAAAUAAAAGAAAAAAAAUCCUACCGAACGAACGUUCGCUACAGAGCCCUACGGAACGAAAUCGUUCGCUACCGAAUACUAACAGAUGAACGUCCACUAAUUAACCUAUCUAAAAUAUAAGACCGACUUUUAAAAGAAAAACCGCAGAAAACCCAAAAAAAAAAAUUAAACCAGACCGGAAGGGGUUAUACCGGGUCGGCGGUUCGGCUGAGAAAAACCGGCAGUGGCUCCGGCGAGGCAGUGGACUCCGGCGAGGCGGGCAGCGGCGGCUAUGGCGGCGGGGUGGUGCGGCAGGCGGCGCGGUGGCGAGGAGCGGCGCGAGGUGGAGCAGCUGCGGCGGCGCGGCAGCGGCAGAAGUGCGGCGGCGCGGCUGAUCUCGCCGGCGGCGGCGGUUGCGGUGCGGCGGCGCGUCGAGGAAAGGAGAGAGGGCGGGGCAGCGGAUCUCGCCUUAUAAAGGCCAGGGGAGGGGCGGGUGUUGCGUGGGCGAGGGGGCAAAGGAGUCCGGCCGGACUCCGGCGGCGGCGCUCCCGUGCGGGAGUCGGUCUCCUGCGGGAGAUCGGGGACGGGGCGACGGGUAAGCUGGGCUGGGCCGCGGCCUGGCUGGGUGCUGGGCCGGCCCAGUCGGCGAAGAGAAUUUUUUUUAACAAACGGAGAAAGAAAUAAUAAAGACAAACUGAAAAUAUUAUAUAGGCAUAUAAUAUAUCAAAAUUUUCAAAAACAAAUUCCAACAGCGUGAACAUUUUUGUAAAGUCAAAUAAAAUCCACACAAAUUUUAAUAAAUCAAACAGUGCUACUGCCUUAAUAAAAUCCAAUAAAAUCUUUUUUUUUAAAUACCAAAAUGAUUUCAAAUUUAUUUUUCUCCAAUUUUCUGAUGUAGGGAAUCAUGUUACCCUAUUUUCUGUAUAUUUUAUUUUUGGAGAAAAAUAAUUUGAAUAAAACUCAAAUAAGUCAAAUAUUGGAAAAUAAUUUCAAUGGGACUUUGAAUUUAAUCCUUUGAAACUCCCAACUCCUAUUUCAUAUGUUUUGAAGAAGUCAUUUUAUCUUCUCUCGUGAAAAUCAUUGAGUUGCAUAAAGUUUCAGAAUUGGAAAAUAUUUUCAAAUGAAAUUCAAAUAUUUUCAACACCCCUUGUCAUUAAAAUAAAUGGAAGAAGUCAUGUCAUCUUCUCUCCAGGGUUUUGUGGUGAAAAGUAUUUGAAUUCCUGGAGAUCAUAAAAGCAAAAUGAAAGUUUGGGAAAGUCCUUUUAUUCCCUCUCAUUUAACUUUCAAAAGAUUUCGAAUUCACUCACUUUUAGUCAAUCAAUCAAACAAUCAAUCCAAUCUAUCUGUUUAUUAUAACAUUCCAAAAUUUAGAAUUUUGGGAUGUUACAAACCUACCACCCUUAAAAUGAAUCUCGUCCUCGAGAUUCGGAGAGGCUAGCAAGAAAUAGGUUAGGGUUUGGGGGUCUCCUCAAAAUCCAUCGAUCAUCUCAGGGGUCUGGGGUGCUACCACCCUUAGAAACAUUGUUACGGUUCCAUCAAAAAUCAUAUACUCCAUCCAUUAUUCUUGACAGUGUCGGUCUUCUCAGAUCUUCAGUAUAAUUCCUUCUCUGGGUUCUUCCGGUGGUGGCAUAACCUUUACCACAAUUCUUCUGUCCUUUCAUCUUGGUAAGGUUAUUCCGAGACUGGGUCUUCGCAGCUGACGGGUCUGGCGCCAAUACUAAAUAGCUAUCGACAUCUCAUGGUGGUCAACAAUUUACGGUUUCUCCUGCAGGAAAAUGGGUCUGGGUUGAUCCUCACCGUAUAACCUACGAUUGGCAUCGACUGCCGUGUACAAGGGAAACAUUCUUAUACCAUUCUAAGGUUCAAACAAGGUUUGGUCGUCGUCUCUCUACUAUAGGUAAGUCACUCAGAUUUACCAUCCCAUAUAGCAAAGCGAACAAUAAGAGUAAGUCGGUAUGGUGAUCAAUCCAUCCCGCACCCAAAUCAUUACCUUGUAUAUGGUUUAGCGAAUCUCGCAUUCUAACACUCGGUCAUCCUCGCAAGCAUUGCAGAAUUUCUCUUGUCGACGAACCAAGUUCGGAAAAAUCCAAUGAUUCUGCAAGCCAAACAAACAUCUAUCGUUCCUUCACAACUCUCAGGUUUUGCGUAACUCCUAUAAGAUUGUCUGUCGAUAAAAUCGUAACUUCUUCCAGGGUCUUCCCUUCAACAAGUGUGCGCUUGCUUCUUGGCAGGUCCUGGGGCCUGUGGGUUAUGGCCCAUCUCAUCACUUGUAAGCCUUGAACUCAUCAUCGUCAACUGAUCCUUAAUCCAACAUCCAACUUCCUGGUAUUCUUAAAUCCAUCCAAUUGUACUGUCUUCCUUCCUUCUAUUGGCACCAACUAGGACAUGAUUACUCAGACUCAUCAUGGAAUUUCCAUUGAUACAUAUUUCCAACAUCAUACCUCUUUUAUAUCCAAUAGUAAUUUAUCCCUUCAUCCUUGGGGAAUAUCCCACAUACCGAGAUAAAAACUUAUACUUAUGAAGUCCAUACUCCACUUCGUGGAACAUCAUUAUCCUUUCCAGGGUCAAGCAUCCUUACAGGGGAAUAUUGGCCAUCUCUGCAUGGCACUUCUUCAACUGAGAAAGGUGAAACACAUCAUGAACUCAUGACAGUCCUUCGGGUGACUCCAACUUGUUGGCCACUUCUCCCAUACGCUCCAAAACUCGAUAUGGUCCUACAAAUCUCGGGGCUAACUUUCCCUUAACUCCAAAUAGUUUAACUCCUCGCAGAGGGAACACACGAAGACAUGCUCCGUCUGCAAUUUCAUAGACUACCUCCUUUACAUCCACUAAUACUCCAUACCCUCAUAUUCUUGGGGUAUCCAACAUAUCGAGAUAAAACUCAUACUUAUUUUGUUCGAAAUCCACUUCAUGGAAUAUCAUUACCUUUUUCCAAGGGUCAAGUUUCCUCACAGGGUACUACCACCCUUAAGAUGCACAAUCUUCCAUAGACCAUAUUUCUCUUAUCCUCGAAAAUGGUCAAAAUCUUUCUUCAUAGAGUAACAACUCAUAGAAUCCAAAUCAAUACCAAUGAUGCUAACUUUAUUGAUUCUCAAAUUAUUACAAUCUCAUGCAUUCCAUUACAUGCCUCAAUCCGACACCUCACUAAUAAAAGAAAUGUCCACACUACUACUACAUUUCUCGUUGCACUCAACUAUUUAUCACAAGUCUUCGUCUCCUUGGGGCAUUCUCUGGCAAAGUGCCCUGCUUCAUCACAACGGUAACAUAUUACUUCUGACAUAUAUCGGGGUUUCCUUGUGAUUAUAUAGCCUCCUGGGGUCCUCAUCUUCCCUUUUGGGCAAUCAUUGUGGUAGUGUCCUAAAUUUUUGCACCUGAAACAUGUGAUAUGACUCAGGUCUUUUUUUGUAGAAAUUGGGUUGUUCCUGGGAUCCAAUCUAUUUCUCUUCCUGGACUUUUUCGUUCCAAUCAGGGCUUCUAUUUCCUGUGGGUCAUACUCUACUUCCUCUGUCGGGAAUUCUACUAAAUCCCCAUUCAGACAAUUUUGGGAGAUGUGUCCUUCUUCUCCACAUGAAUAGCAUGACUUGGUGCAGGGUUUAUUUGGUUCUUCUUUGGGUGUGUCCUCCACCUCUUCCUUCAUCACAGAUUCCUCUAAAUUUUCCAUGAGGGCUCUUUUCAUUGCUUCUUUCUUCUGCUGGACGGUCCUUUGUACCAUGGGGUAGAUGUGACACUGAGCAGGGUAGUGGGUAGUCCCUUCACACAAGCAACAAGUGAUCUGCCGAGUUGGGCAUUCUUCAGCUGGGUGACUUCCUUCACAAUUAGGGCAUUCAUCCUUGUGUUCCUUAUGGUUGUGUCCUAUUUCUCCACAAGGCUUGUAUGCACAAGGUUUCUUCAUAUCCUUUCCAUAAGGCUUCAAUUUCUGGGACACAAGACGAGAUCUUUGUAGAGUCCACUUAAAUUAUUUCCAAGUGGUUACUUCUUGCCAUCCAUUGAUGGUUUGGUACAUCCUCCACCAAGUAGCAGCACCUCUUUCAAAACAUUGAAGAGCAUGCCGGGUCAUAUCCUUUCCGACUAUAGGGUUAUUCCUCAUGUGAUCCUCCAUGUUCUGAAUCCAUCGGUCCGUCUCCAAUUGACUCAUCGGUCCAGAAAAUACAAGCUCAUCUCCAUUCAUCCUCUGUUGGGUCCAAGGGUUUGGGGUGAGAUAAGAGAGGUAGAGAGGGAUGCACACAAUACAAACAAAAGUUUUGAAAAGACAGAUUUUAUUGUGGCUGUCGGAAAAACAACAAACAAAUGACAGCUCACCAACGUCGCAUCUAACGUAGGCAUAACAGGGGUUUGGUCUUCUAAAGGUCAAUAAGUCUUCAACAUCGCCAAACUCUUCAAGUCUUGUUCAUGUCUCCGAUGGCUUCUUCCAAUCAUGCUUGUCCUUCUCAAGUUCUUUUGCCAAAUUAUCUCUGUUGACGCGAAGUCUCUCGUGACGUCCUUUAAAUUUUUCUGGAGUUGCGCUCCAACUUCUGGGUUUCAACAUCCUUGACAUGAACCAUGAUCCUACUGUCCUUCAGUUCAUGACGAAUCUUUGAUGUCUCGAGGUUUUGCUCCUCUAGCUUGGCUACUUUCAGCCUCUGCGUCCUGAGUUCUUCACGAAACACUUCUUUGUCAAAAACUUCUUGAUGUAAUACUCCAGAUCCUGGUGAUACACCGGUCUAAAGUUAAAACUUCAGCUUGCUGAUAGGUACUCCAUCAUCCUUCUACCAUCCAAUCCUUCCAUGCAUAUGCAUGCUUAACUCGGCACGGUGGCAAUAGAAUAAGCGGACGAUAACAUCAUGGAUAGCCGUGUUUAUGCCCAUGUUACUGCCAUGAGCUUUCAUUCCAUAACUGAUAUCUCCUGUCUUCGGGUUUUCUUAACAAAAACUUUGAGUUCUAAUGCUCCAUGUUUUGGUCUUUCUCCGAUACACCUUGCUCUCGGGCAUUGACGGCUUCCAUAGUUUGCCAUGUUCCAUAAGGGUAACCUUCCUAGGUCAUACACAUCUGGCAAUUCUUCAGAGCCUUCAAAUUCUCCCAGUCUUUGGAGUCUUCAACCAUUGUAGUUUCCAUUAUCAUAAUGCAUGGUAAAAUCCUCUUUAUUCCAAAUGGUCUUGGUUGUCCGAUAUCUUGUCCUUCUUGGAGUGGUCUCAUCAGUCGAAUCUUCGUGUGGUCAAAAGGGGAAAGGGUAUGGUCUCACUAAAAGGGAAUAUUUGAAUAAGACUCAGAAAAGAAGAGAGGUAAAAGAUCUUUUUGAAAAGGAAAGUUUUUAGGGAAAAUCCUUCCUAUGGGCUUGCCGGUUCCUAGGGUCACGUCCUACAGUCAACAUGUGCUCUGAUACCAUCUUGUAGCGACCCGACCCGAAUGGAUCAAGUCUCUGUGCUUAAGUGUCAUCCCUGGAUCGGUAUGCUGACACACACAGUACUCGAGGAUUUAUAACAGAGGUAAAUCACAUGUAUAAAGUAACGUAAAUACUAUUACCUCAAUCCAAAUAGCGGAAGUAACAAGGUUGUGGAUUCCCAUCAACACCAACGGCAAAGUUGAGUGUAGAAAUCAUAACCCUAACGAAUCACUUACUCGUCGUAAGAUAUCCUGCAACAUGAAACGUUGCAGCCCGAAAACGGGUCAGCACAUGGAAUAUGCUGGCAAAUUCACACCAUAGAGAAAUAACGAACAAAGGCUAUCACUACAUGCAUAUAUGGUUGGUGUAAAAGCUCUAUGGUUAUAAUGUUUUUGCGAAAAGCCAAUUUUUCCCUACUACAAAGGAAUAAAUUUUAUUUAACUAUCAUGGUGGUUGUGAAACAUUGAGAUGGUUGACAGCAUCUCAAUCCCAAUUAAGUAUCAUCAUUAACCCAACAAUAUUAAUUAAAGUAACAUGAUGAGAUCAACGGGAUAAUCCAAGAACUAGAUACUCAAGAUGUCCAUAACCGGGGACACGGCUAAUCAUGAUUAGUUUGUACACUCUGCAGAGGUUUGUGCACUUUUCCCCACAAGACUCGAUCGCCUCCGCUUGAUUCUCGCACUGCAUGAUGUUUGAGAAACGGAUGACCGAGACACAGUCUUUCAGAAGCGUUAGCACCUUACGAUGGGUAGACCGGUACACCUACAUCCCCUACAUCUGCUAGUCUACCACUGUAAGAGUUCACACAACUUAAUCAACUAUGCUAGAGCCCAUAAUAGCUUGUGGCUGCACACGGAAGUUUCUAGCAUGAAUAAUCUUAUGAUCCCUUUGAGCCUGGGUGGCGGUCCUUAUACAAACAGACAACACUGGGUUCUCCAGGUGCCUCAAUCCACCCAGAUGUGAGUUUUAGUUGCCACCUUAAGUAAACCAUUAUUAACAAUCUCACAUCUGUCAUGAAUAUCUCUCAAACCCAAUCCACGUCUACGGGCAUAGCAUGGCAAUAUAAUAGCAACGUAGAAGUAACUCCCAAAGGUUUGAUAAUAAACAGGGCAAUAGGUACUACCUCAACUACUUCCCAAUACCCACAAUUUAAAUUUGAUCCUAACCAUGCAAUGUUUGAGGGUUGAAUCUAAUGCAUAAAAACUGGGAAUGAAGGGAUAUGAUCAAAGUGUGAACUUGCCUGCAAUGUUGAUGAAGAUGAUUCACACUCAAAACUCUUGAUAGAUCUACUCGUCACACUCCAGUCAAUCUAUCGUAAGCAAGCAAUAGUAACCACACAUAAGCAAUCACUCAAAAGAUCAGAAAGAACGAAGAAGACGAUUCGGGAAACAUCAAAACCAAGCAAAUAACUCUUGCAACAUAAAACAAUUUCUAAUAGUACCAAAAUUAUAUGAAUUUGGCCUUACCAGAAAGUUUAGGUCAAGAGCUUCGAUUUGCAAAAAGAAUCAACUCAAACGGAGUUACGGAACUAAGUUAUGAACAAAAGAAGUUUGAAUACAAAUCUGUUUUAAUUCAAAUUUUAAAACUUUCAAAAACAUGUUUAAGUUGUUUUACUGGAUAGAGGAGAUCAUAACGAAGAAGUGGGCGUUGGUUUCGUUGGAUUUGGAUAAACGAGUAAAAAGUUGUAGACGUUUGAAAAUCAGGGGCUAAUCUGUAAAUAAAUCAUCACAGAUAAGUCCCUGGCCGGAAAUUAAAAAUAAAAUAAAAGAAAAAAAAAUCCUAUCGAACGAACGUUCGCUACAGAGCCCUACGGAACGAAAUCGUUCGCUACCGAAUACUAACAGAUGAACGUCCACUAAUUAACCUAUCUAAAAUAUAAGACCGACUUUUAAAAGAAAAACCGCAGAAAACCCAAAAAUAAAAAAAAUAAACCAGACCG